GUGCCCGUAACUCAGUGGUAGAGUGUGAGAUUGCAAUAUAUGAGGAUCUCUAAUAGGUGAUCUUGAAGCCGCGUGUUCGAACCACGCCGGGCACU